UGCAGAUAGAUUAUAUAGAUUAUGAAUUAGAAAGUGAGGAUAGUAUAUAUGAAAUUUCAGAAAACGAAACAGAUAAUGAAAUAGAUAGUGAAAUAGAUGAAUCAAAUGACUGAAGAAGAUAUAAAAAUAAUAACAAAGGAAGAAUAUUUAAAUGAUGAAGGAACGGAACAAAAAAUAAUAUUUGACAGUAACAUAUUUGAUGAAAUAAAAGGAAAAGAACAA
rnacentral:lncRNA from 1 species